rnacentral:rRNA from 1 species
CCUGCCCAGUGAUAAAUUUAACGGCCGCGGUACCCUAACCGUGCAAAGGUAGCAUAAUCACUUGUUCUUUAAAUAAGGACUUGUAUCAACGGCAUCACGAGGGUUCUACUGUCUCCUCUCUCCAAUCAGUGAAACUGAUCUCCCCAUGAAAAAGUGGGGAUAAACUUAUAAGACGAGAAGACCCCAUGGAGCUUUAAAACCUAUAGCAACCUAGCAAACACUUCCAUCUAGCUAUAAAAUAAUGCUCAAGGACUUUAGGUUGGGAGGACCACGGAGCACAAAAUAACCUCCGUAAUGAAAAGAAUAAGAUCUUUACCAAAGAGCCACAACUCUAAGAAUUAGAAAACUAACGUACAUGACCCGAUAUCGAUCAAUGAACUAAGUUACCCUGGGGAUAACAGCGCAAUCCACUCUGAGAGUUCAUAUCGACGAGCGGGCUUACGACCUCGAUGUUGGAUCAGGGUAUCCUGGUGGUGCAGCCGCUACCGAAGGUUCGUUUGUUCAACGAUUAAAACCCUACGUGAUCUGAGUUCAGACCG